AUAUAUAUAGUAGAGCUACUAUACUCUUAUGAGUAUAGAGUCCUUCAUACUCAUAAGUUGUUUUUGAUGAUGAAGUUUCCAAAUCGACAAUCCACUCCAUUAAAUAUGAUCUGGAGUAUUUGAAACUUCUGUAAAAUAAAUUUUGUAAUUUUUUGAAAUCAUAAUAAAGUUCAUCAAGUCGGUAUAAAAUGAACGGUCGAAAUCAAACGACGUCCUAAAAAUGGAUGAUCGGGUCCUUCAAUUUAAGAUCGAAGUUAUUGAUCUUUAUCUAGAUAGUGAAUAGAAUUUUCUAUCAAAAAUUCAACUGAUUCCGAUUCUUUUGUACCGUUAAACUACCAAGUAUCCCAUACCAGCCGUUAAAAAUUAUCAAUUUUAUCACCUUUUGAUCGUAAGGUAAAUGAUCUCAAAAAAUUAUAAAAUUUGAUUUCUAGAAGUUUUAAAUACUCUAGAUAAUGUUUGACGGUGUGGAUCGUCGAUUCAGAAGCUCUAUCAUCGAAAACGACUUAUGAGUACAAGGGCGAUCGUACUCAUAAGAGUAUAGUAGCCGGACUCUAUAUAUACAUGUAGGCCAUGGCUACUAUACUAUUAUGAGUAUUGGAGCCCUCGUACUCAUAAGUUGUUUUCAAUGAUGGAGCUUCCGAAUCGACGAUCUACUCCGUUAAAUAUGAUCUAGAGUAUUUGAAACUUCUAGAAAAUAAAUUUCGUAAAUUUUCGAAAUCAUAAUAAAGUCCAUCAAGUGGGCAUAAAAUGAACGGUUAAAAUCGAACGACGUCCUAAAAAAGGAUGAUCGGAUCCUUCAAUUCAAGAUCGGAGUUAUUCAUUUUUAUCUAUGUAGUGAAUAGAAUUUUCUAUCAAAAAUUCAACAAAUUCCGAUUCUUUUACACCGUUAAACUAGCAAGUAUCCUAUACGGUCAUUA
rnacentral:lncRNA from 1 species